AGUUUUGUCUGGAGGAGAGUGCG
rnacentral:piRNA from 1 species